AAAGGGGAACUGAAGUGAAAAAUGAAAAUCAAUUAUUUAGUAGUUUUCAUCGUGCUGAUUUCGAAUAUCGACACGAAAUUAGUGUUUUUCUUUUCGUUUUCCUGCAUUCACAACGCGAAGUGUGAAAUUUCUCCAUUUCGGUGGCGGAGAGGUCUGGAGACAAGUUUCAGGCGCUGACGUAAAGUCGUGGACACGUGCCCCGGUCGCAACGAAAACAACAUUGUAGUAGGUAGUAGAGUGAAUCGGAGGGAGGGAAUUCGGUUAGUGGUUAGAAUUUCAGUUCGCAAUUUUCACGACAGCUCUUCAGGAAUGACAACAGACUUAAGAUCGAGCGACGAUGAAUCUGGAGCAUGUGGUGGUGAAGUACUUGCCCUACCAAGGGCGAACGGGAACUGCGAAAGUGGCGAUGAAGAUUAGCCUAGGCCCGAUGAGAUCCCAGAGGCUGAGGAUGGAUUAUCUCCCGCGACGUGCUCGUUUUGUCGGUAGAAAUGAGGAAGCAAAUCAAUGGUAUCUACAAACAGUGGCCGAUCAAUGGAUGGUUUGCUGGUUUUUGGGUAUUUGUGCUGGAAAAACUGGACAACUUUAAGUAUGAAUUUAUCACAAAAUGUAAAGAAAAGAACUUUAGUCAAAGAAGACAAGAAUUUCAAAAUUCUGCAGAGAGACAAUGAAAAUGCAAAACUCAGCUACCUACUACAUAUACAGUGGAGUACAGGGUUAUAUACAGGGGUUAUUCAAAGGGACCAGACUUUCAGUUCAUAAUAGCAAGAAGAGAAAUUUAGAACUAGUGGGGUCAUGUUAUAAGUUAGAAAUUUGUUAAAACUAGUGGGGCAAUGGCCAAAUCUUGUCAGCCCUAGGCCAAAUCACUAGAUUAGUCACAUCAAGGGGGGGAGGGGUUGGGGAUUGAGCAAGGCUUGAUAUUUUCAAGAUUCCUAAGGUAUAUUUUUCAAGAUAUUUUACUCACAUCAAAAUGUGUAGAAUAGUUUGGAUUUGAUAAAGUUUUUCUCUUACAAUAAUGGUCCUGUACCACCUGCUUGGUAACAUUUUUUAUACAUAAUCAGAAGAAAAUGUUUUACCUUCA